GCUGACUCAGCCCAGCAUAGCACAAAUAGGUGAAAUAAGUAAUCUGCGAGGGACCUAAAAUGAGUAUCCAGCGCUUGCUCUCAUUUCACUGUUUCUUCUGCCACUUGUUCCAGACAGCCAAGGCUGGAAUUGAAUGAAUUGUUCCUCGGGAGUACAGUCCAGGAAGAACUGUGGUCCUUGUUCUCUGCAAAGAGCCCACUCCAGUGAAUGACAGUCUGAGACCUUAUAAAAAAUUGAAAGAUCAAGCAAAAGAAAGAAGACGCUGGGAUCAGGGUUGUCCCAUGGUCCAUGCAAGAAGGGGUUUAUGACUUUUCCCGGUUCAAAACAUCUCCUGAACAUACACACUGACUGACUUACAAAGACCACCUCUAAUAACAAAAUACAGGGAAUCUGCUUCUGAGAGCAGUGAAGAUCCUUAUGUCCUACCGUUAAACUUGUCUAUAAUGUCAGGUUUUUAUCUUACACAUUCCAAACAUUGUGAAUCAGAACAAAGUUUCUCUGUUACAUAAUGUAACAAAUGCCAGUACAGGCAGCUCUUUUGAAAAAAGUUUGGCCAGACCACAAAAAUUUGGGGAUAAAUAAAUGGCAACAGGAUUUGUCAGAUGAUUCCUCCUAAAAAUGCCUUUUUUGCAGUGUUCAAAGGAGAAAUGAUAGACAAACUUGCAGUGGUGCAGUCUAAAAAAGAUGCAAAAGAUGUGGUUUAAUCUUCUGUUUCAUCAUACUACUGGUUCUAUAUAGCCAAACAUGGUGCAAGCAGGCAACAAAAUCCAGCAUUAGCAGUGUGCUUUUUGUACAGAAAAGGGAAGGGGAGGGUGAUUUGAUCAAAGGUAUUUUUACAGUAUAUACCUUUUUUUAUGUUUUGUUUUUUUUGGUGGUGGUGGUUGUUUGGUGGCUUGGGGUUUUUGUUUUUUGGGGUUUUUUUUUAAUCAAAGGAGAAAACUGUGGCUAAAGUUGCUUCUAAUUGUAGUAGGACAUCCAUAGAACAUCACAGAGUCUGACAGACAUUAAAGGGGAGAGUCUGACAGACACUGGACGAGCCAGUUUUAUUAUGAGACUGCACUUCAAUCGACAUCUUUGCAAAAGUUAUAUAAACUAGGGCAGAUUUCAGUGCGCUAUUUGUCAUAUAUGAUUUUGUCCUGGCAUGAAGUAUCUGGACAUGGCUUGACUAAUGCCAGUACGUAAAAUAUUACUGUAAGGAAUUUAGCAUGCCAAUUAUGUUCUGCAAGCUCAGGAGAUUAUCCCUACUCCUUACUUCAUGAAUUCUCAGGUUGCUCUGCCUGACGUUCCCUCUGAAGUUCCUUGAAGUUCUUCCUGUCAUACAAACAGACUGAAAUUUUUGUAAUGAAUCACUUGCAGGGGGAAAAAAAUCAAUUUUCUUAACUGAUAUUUUCUGCUGUGGAAUCAGAUAUUCAGCUGAUUUGUAUAUGCAACAUUUCCUCCACUCGCACUGACUGGUAUAAACUGUAAUGUCACGUUCCUUUCGAACUAGUAUGCCUGGCAACUUAACCCUGUUUCCUCUCCUUUCAGAUACAGAGAUGUUGACAUACAUAAAAAGAUAUUUCAAGGAAUGUGGGACAGUAUAUUCCUGCUUCAAAUAUUUUAUUGAAAUGAACGCUUAAUUACUAUCUGUUCUCUGUGCAAGCAUUGACAGGCUUAUCAGCGGUCACUUCCGCUAUCAGCUGGCACUGCCUACAAACUACUUAGCUAGGAGUUUGACGGUGACUAGGCAUAACUGGCAUUAAAUUGUCUUUGUAAUCACUCUAGGACAGCAAGUGAACUUCACAAAGGACAAUGCAAAGACUAACCGCUUCUUUACCAAUUGAAUCCUUCAUGCCUGUGCACCUCUGGUAACACCAGGUGUGCAUGUGCCUGUCUACUUUCAGGCUCAUGUUUUUGUGUAUCACUUCUGUACCCCUACUAUCUACUUUUGUUUCUACUAUCUACUUCCUCUGCUUUUGACAGGGUUCAAAGAAUAUGCUUGCGACUGGUUAGCUAGAUGGGAGGCAGUAUAGCAGGUCAAUUCAUUUUCCCAUGGCAUGUUUUGUUCCACUUGCUGACUGUAAUUUUUUCCAUUUUGAUCUUACCAGUAUUACCUGCUUGACAUGGCACUUUAUCAGUGACUAAUGAAGUACCUAUUUUCAGGGAUGAAGCAGCUAAAGAAUUUUUUUCUUUACUAUGUAUAUGAUUCAAUAUGACUUUCCAUUCAAUGUACCUAAUGUUUAUAUGUUAAUUAUUUAAAUAUUCUGUUUUAUUGCCCAGAAAUGCAUGCAGUGAUUCAACGGUAACCAUCUCCAUUUGUAUGGAACUCACAUGAGGUCUAAAUACAUGCACAUCAAAAUAUGUGCCCAAAAAACAGCUCAGUGAGAGAUGGGAAAUUUUACUUGUGAUGUAUUGUUUGUUAAGAGCAAAGAUAAAAAUUAACGAUGUAAA